rnacentral:miRNA from 1 species
GUCUGCCAGCAUCAGCCCCAGU